rnacentral:rRNA from 1 species
CCGGCCUGAGAGGGUGUCCGGCCACACUGGGACUGAGAUACGGCCCAUACUCCUACGGGAGGCAGCAGUGGGGAAUAUUGCACAAUGGGCGCAAGCCUGAUGCAGCGACGCCGCGUGAGGGAUGACGGCCUUCGGGUUGUAAACCUCUUUCAGCAUCGACGAAGCGCAAGUGACGGUACGUGCUGAAGAAGGACCGUGCCAACUACGAGCCAGCAUCCGCGGUAAUACGUAGGGUCCGAGCGUUGUCCGGAAUUACUGGGCGUAAAGAGCUCGUAGGUGGUUUGUCGCGUUGUUCGUGAAAACUCACAGCUUAACUGUGGGCGUGCGAGCGAUACGGGCAGACUGGAGUACUGCAGG